GCGUCAUUAGCUCAGGUGGUUAGAGCGCUACCCUGAUAAGGUAGAGGUCGCUGGUUCGAGUCCAAUAUGACGCACCA
rnacentral:tRNA from 1 species